UACGUAGGGGGCAAGCGUUAUCCGGAUUUACUGGGUGUAAAGGGAGCGUAGACGGAUUUGCAAGUCAGAUGUGAAAGGCGGGGGCUUAACCCCCGGAUUGCAUUUGAAACUGCAGAUCUUGAGUACCGGAAGGGCAGAUGGAAUUCCUGGUGUAGCGGUGAAAUGCGUAGAGAUCAGGAGGAACACCGGUGGCGAAAGCGGUCUGCUGGACGGUAACUGACGUUGAGGCUCGAAGGCGUGGGGAGCAAACAGG
rnacentral:rRNA from 1 species